rnacentral:rRNA from 1 species
UACAGGGGGUGCAAACGUUGCUCGGAAUCAUUGGGCGUAAAGCGCACGUAGGCGGUUCGUUAUGUCGGAUGUGAAAGCCCUUGGCUUAACCGAGGAAGUGCAUCCGAAACUGGCGAGCUAGAGUACUAAAGAGGAUCGCGGAAUUCCCGGUGUAGUGGUGAAAUGCGUAGAUAUCGGGAGGAACACCAGUGGCGAAGGCGACUUCCUGGCCUGUUCUUGACGCUGAGGCGCGAAAGCUAGGGGAGCAAACGGG